CAUGUAGAUGUGCGUCUCCGUCCACCGCCGCACGCGGCAGCAGAACACCCACAGCGCCAGGCCGUUGAGCAGCAGCCCCAGCGCCAGCAGCAGGCCCACGUAGGCGUCCACGAUGUUCUUGACCCAGUAGGGCCAGGAGUCUGCUCUUCUCUCUGUUCUGUGAGUGACACCCAGGUUCUGAGGCCCCUCAGACCACAAGCCAGCCAGGCUCCACAGGCCCCGAGCCCACCAGAACUGACCACGGGGAUCCUCCCUCGUUGCCUGCCCCGCCCUCGCGGCCGCAGCUCCCCCCCCAAGCAUGUGUGAGCUUCCCGGCGGCUCAGUCAAGGCCCCCACCGGCCCAGAUUCCUCAGAACCUGCUGGGAAGGUACCUCAAGGCCCCCCAGAGUCACGGUGCCGCCGUGGCCCCCCCCCACCCGAGACGGGUCCAGCAGCGGUGAACGGUUGCUGCCCUUCUGGCUGACCUUGGGGGGGGGGGCAGGAAGAGAUGCCCGGGGCCGCAUGCGGUUGGGUGUCUGGGAGUAUGACUCACAGGCUGGCCUCGGUGUGGCCCGAGCUCUCCUCACCGUCCCAGACAGGGCUUGGCAUGGUUUCGAAGGUACCCGGUGGGGUCCUGAACACUUGGCCAGCUCGGGGGGCCCGCAUCUGUGUCCUUGGGGCGCCUCCCGUACAAGCCCGGGGAAGUCAGGUCACGGGUCCAGCCUGAGUGGCACGGGGCCGUCCGGAAGCCACCGACGGCACCGCAUGUCCUGCCUGUGUCUGGCCCUGGCGUGGGGACCUGUGUCCAGGGCAGGCCCCCCGCUGUCCUAGUGUCCUAGUGGCCCCACUGCCGCACGGCCAGCGCAGAGCGCUGAGUGACACGGGCCGGGAGCUUCCUGCUGGGGGGUGGUGGGGGGGGGGGGAGCGGCACCUCCCGUGUACCGCUUCCUUCCUGAUGGUGCCAUCAGUCUGCCUCCUCACGCCAGUGGAAAGGUGCCCUGGAUUCUGCACGGAGGCACCUCUGUAAUGACCCGACAGGGGCCUGGGGUCGGGUCUGGGAGGCCGGCCCACGCCACGGCCCCCGGGGCCCCACAGACGCCUUGAGCGGGACCUGGGGCAGGCACUCACUGGGGUGCAGACCCUGGGGCCUGAGCACCGUAGAGGCCUCUGGAGCCGGGGCCCCGCGCAAGAAAUACUCCAGGAUCCAGGACGGAUGCGCGUGGGUGACCGAAGCGUCGCGGAGCCAAGAUCCCCGCGGCGGGAAUACGGCAAACAUUGUCUAUUCUCGUUUCUCAAGCGCCGGUCCCAGCCCACGAAGUGGGUUUCAGGGUCUCGAAUGAGCCCGGCGCGGCGCGCACAGUGUGGCAGGGACCCGACUCCUCGUCCUUGCGGCUUCUCUCUCUGCGCCGAGCCAUCACCACCACCCCUGCUCAUUGGCGGAGGCAGCGACCGAGGCCCCCAGAAGGCAGUGGCUGGG